rnacentral:rRNA from 1 species
GGGGGGGGGGGCUGCCUUAACAUGCAGUCGAACGGUAACAGGGAGCUUGCUCCGCUGACGAGUGGCGAACGGGUGAGUAAUACAUCGGAACGUGCCCAGUAAUGGGGGAUAGCUCGGCGAAAGCCGGAUUAAUACCGCAUACGCCCUGAGGGGGAAAGUGGGGGACCGCAAGGCCUCACGUUAUUGGAGCGGCCGAUGGCUGAUUAGCUAGUUGGUAGGGUAAAGGCCUACCAAGGCGACGAUCAGUAGCUGGUCUGAGAGGACGAUCAGCCACACUGGGACUGAGACACGGCCCAGACUCCUACGGGAGGCAGCAGUGGGGAAUUUUGGACAAUGGGGGAAACCCUGAUCCAGCAAUGCCGCGUGUGCGAAGAAGGCCUUCGGGUUGUAAAGCACUUUUGUCAGGGAAGAAAUCCUUUGGGCUAAUACCCUAGGGGGAUGACGGUACCUGAAGAAUAAGCACCGGCUAACUACGUGCCAGCAGCCGCGGUAAUACGUAGGGUGCAAGCGUUAAUCGGAAUUACUGGGCGUAAAGCGUGCGCAGGCGGUUGUGUAAGACAGGUGUGAAAUCCCCGGGCUUAACCUGGGAAUUGCAUUUGUGACUGCACGA